rnacentral:rRNA from 1 species
GUAGGUGGCAAGCGUUGUCCGGAAUUAUUGGGCGUAAAGUGCGCGCAGGUGGGUUCUUUAAGUCUGAUGUGAAAGCCCCCGGGCUCAACCGGGGAGGGUCAUUGGAAACUGGGGAACUUGAGUGCAGGAGAGGAAAGUGGAAUUCCACGUGUAGCGGUGAAAUGCGUAGAUAUGUGGAGGAACACCAGUGGCGAAGGCGACUUUCUGGCCUGUAACUGACACUGAGGCGCGAAAGCGUGGGGAGCAAACAGGAUUAGAUACCCUGGUAGUCCACGCCGUAAACGAUGAGUGCUAAGUGUUGGGGGGUUUCCGCCCCUCAGUGCUGCAGCUAACGCAUUAAGCACUCCGCCUGGGGAGUACGGUCGCAAGACUG